rnacentral:rRNA from 1 species
CUAGAAUAAAAGUAGUUAUAUUCUUCAUAACUCAAAGAAUUUGGCGGUUAAUAAAAGUUUUUAGAGGAACCUGUAUUUUAAUUGAUAAUCCACGAUAGUUUUUACCUAAAAUAUAUUUGUAUAUCUCUAUGGUGUAGAGAUUGUUUUUAAAAGAUAUUUUCUUUAUGUAUAAUCAUGUAUUUUAGGUCAAGGUGCAGUUUUUUUUAGGUAAAUAUGGGUUAUAUUGUUUAUAAUGUUUUGAUAAAUUAUUUAUUUUUUUAAAUAAAUUUUAAGGAUUUAAAAGUAAAUUAAAUUAAUUUAUUUUUUUGAAUAUU